rnacentral:hammerhead_ribozyme from 1 species
AGCCGAAACCGGGCUGCGUGCCCGGUCCGCCGGAGAUGGCCUACCGGCGCUGACGAGGCAGGCCGAA